rnacentral:rRNA from 1 species
CGAGCGCAACCCUUGCCUUUAGUUGCCAGCAGUUCGGCUGGGCACUCUAAAGGGACUGCCGGUGGACAAACCGGAGGAAGGUGGGGAUGACGUCAAGUCAUCAUGGCCCUUACGGCCUGGGCUACACACGUGCUACAAUGGUCGGUACAAAGGGUUGCCAAGCCGCGAGGUGGAGCUAAUCCCAUAAAACCGAUCGUAGUCCGGAUCGCAGUCUGCAACUCGACUGCGUGAAGUCGGAAUCGCUAGUAAUCGUGAAUCAGAAUGUCACGGUGAAUACGUUCCCGGGCCUU